rnacentral:rRNA from 4 species
AGACCCGAAACCCGGUGAUCUAGCCAUGGGCAGGUUGAAGGUUGGGUAACACUAACUGGAGGACCGAACCGACUAAUGUUGAAAAAUUAGCGGAUGACCUGUGGCUGGGGGUGAAAGGCCAAUCAAACCGGGAGAUAGCUGGUUCUCCCCGAAAGCUAUUUAGGUAGCGCCUCGUGAAUUCAUCUCCGGGGGUAGAGCACUGUUUCGGCUAGGGGGCCAUCCCGGCUUACCAACCCGAUGCAAACUGCGAAUACCGGAGAAUGUUAUCACGGGAGACACACGGCGGGUGCUAACGUCCGUCGUGAAGAGGGAAACAACCCAGACCGCCAGCUAAGGUCCCAAAGUCAUGGUUAAGUGGGAAACGAUGUGGGAAGGCCCAGACAGCCAGGAUGUUGGCUUAGAAGCAGCCAUCAUUUAAAGAAAGCGUAAUAGCUCACUGGUCGAGUCGGCCUGCGCGGAAGAUGUAACGGGGCUAAACCAUGCACCGAAGCUGCGGCAGCGAACGUAUCACCCAAGACAACUUUACGGAGUUGACGAUUGACGGAGCGAAGCGACGUCAAAGCGUUCAUUAAAGUCGAGUUGGCUUAGGGAUACGUUCGUUGGGUAGGGGAGCGUUCUGUAAGCCUGUGAAGGUGUGUCGUGAGGCAUGCUGGAGGUAUCAGAAGUGCGAAUGCUGACAUAAGUAACGAUAAAGCGGGUGAAAAGCCCGCUCGCCGGAAGACCAAGGGUUCCUGUCCAACGUUAAUCGGGGCAGGGUGAGUCGACCCCUAAGGCGAGGCCGAAAGGCGUAGUCGAUGGGAAACGGGUUAAUAUUCCCGUACUUGGUGUUACUGCGAAGGGGGGACGGAGAAGGCUAUGUUGGCCGGGCGACGGUUGUCCCGGUUUAAGCGUGUAGGUGUGUGUUCCAGGUAAAUCCGGUUCACUUUAACACUGAGGCGUGAUGACGAGGCACUACGGUGCUGAAGCAACAAAUGCCCUGCUUCCAGGAAAAGCCUCUAAGCAUCAGGUAACAUCAAAUCGUACCCCAAACCGACACAGGUGGUCAGGUAGAGAAUACCAAGGCGCUUGAGAGAACUCGGGUGAAGGAACUAGGCAAAAUGGUGCCGUAACUUCGGGAGAAGGCACGCUGACACGUAGGUGAAGUGAUUUACUCACGGAGCUGAAGUCAGUCGAAGAUACCAGCUGGCUGCAACUGUUUAUUAAAAACACAGCACUGUGCAAACACGAAAGUGGACGUAUACGGUGUGACGCCUGCCCGGUGCCGGAAGGUUAAUUGAUGGGGUCAGCGCAAGCGAAGCUCCUGAUCGAAGCCCCGGUAAACGGCGGCCGUAACUAUAACGGUCCUAAGGUAGCGAAAUUCCUUGUCGGGUAAGUUCCGACCUGCACGAAUGGCGUAAUGAUGGCCAGGCUGUCUCCACCCGAGACUCAGUGAAAUUGAACUCGCUGUGAAGAUGCAGUGUACCCGCGGCAAGACGGAAAGACCCCGUGAACCUUUACUAUAGCUUGACACUGAACAUUGAGCCUUGAUGUGUAGGAUAGGUGGGAGGCUUUGAAGUGUGGACGCCAGUCUGCAUGGAGCCGACCUUGAAAUACCACCCUUUAAUGUUUGAUGUUCUAACGUGGACCCGUAA